ensembl:lncRNA
CGACAGAUGGUUUAUAACUUCAUUUAUUCAUCUUAAGUGCUUUAGCGGAAGCUUCAUGGAGAGCCUUCGAGGAAGAGAAAACACGGCCUAAUAAAGGCGUCCAGGGGAUUGAUGUUUCAAAUAUAAACUUACACUAGUGUUGUAUACGCUAAUAUAAAAACUAAUAUUUGAUAUAUUUGUUAAAUCUUACCGUGGUUGUAGCUGUGUUGGCUAACUAACGUUACUCAUAAAGCUGGCCUGAGCCACAUGAGGAGACAGGAAAGUUACUCUAACUAUGGGCUAGUAACUAGUUAGUCUAUUACUGACUGUUUAGUGAUGGUUUACAUCGAUUCAGCGGGGAUUAUCCCACCAAAAUAUCUCUAGUUAUCUCCAAACAACCACCACGUCGCUGCAUAAUAACAGACAGAGGUCUGACUAGUUAGCUAGCCACCGUUACUUACAAUAAGAAGCUCAUUUCCGUUAACUUUGCUUCGAGCGAAGCUUCCAGACAGCGUGAAGUCGAGGAUUCCCAACAGAAAUUCUUCACCCAAGUCUUGUUUAAGGAUCAAACCGAUGUAAACAACGUAGUCCCAAAGUUUCAAAACUUUAAUCUAAGCGAACAUGAAACCGCGCUGGAACAGGAAGUGUUUACAACCGCCGCAGAGAAAAAGGAAACAGCAAAGACGACAGAGUCCGAUGUUGUUGCCAAAAUCGCACAGUAUGAGCUGCUAGUGCGAGUGCAGUUAGAGCUGUUAGUGGCGAUGCAGUUAGAGCUGCUAGUGCGAUUAGAGCUGUUUGUGCGAGUGCAGUUAGAGCUGCUAGUGCGAGUGCAGUUAGACCUGUGUGAGUGCA